CAGCAGCCACGGGAAUACGAAGGGUGCAAGCGUUACUCGGAAUUACUGGGCGUAAAGCGUGCGUAGGUGGUGGUUUAAGUCCGUUGUGAAAGCCCUGGGCUUAACCUGGGAAUUGCAGUGGAUACUGGGUCACUAGAGUGUGGUAGAGGAUAGUGGAAUUUCCGGUGUAGCAGUGAAAUGCGUAGAGAUCGGAAGGAACAUCUGUGGCGAAGGCGACUAUCUGGGCCAACACUGACACUGAGGCACGAAAGCGUGGGGAGCAAACAGGAUUAGAUACCCCGGUAGUCCCUGUCUCUUAUAA
rnacentral:rRNA from 1 species